rnacentral:piRNA from 1 species
UGGCUCCAUGUGCUCAGGGUUCACACAC